GUGCAUGAGACACUGCUGUUGUUUGGACCAAGCAUUCUGCACGUGAGUGGCUCUGCACCCCUGUCUGGGAGGCUGCCAGGGACUGCGCGCUUGGAGGAGUGGAUGUUACCUUUGCAUCAAAUGCCCUUCCAUGACAACCAAACAUUUCUACUGAUAUAAAUGGGCUGCUUUAAAUGCGUUUAGAAGUUGAUGUGGCCACAACGUAGUCAGUGGAGGAAAGAGUUUUUUGCAGUUAUGUUGUCACAGUGAGCUGGAACAUGCAUAGGGCAAUGAGGGCUGUGCAGGUGCCCUUGAGUGAACAGAAGUGUGACAAGGACGUACCUUGAGUGACAAACAUUGAUCUCUGAUGGCAGGACGGACUAUUCUAUGUUUCUAAUUAAUGACUUUCCUCUUCUUACAAGUUUUGAAAAGUAUGUAUUUCCUGAACUGAUUUUUUUACAAUUGUGUUUAAAUUUGUGAACAGUGACUCCAUUAUUGAAAAAUUAUAGCUAUGCUCAUCAUCUGUAAGGCUGUUUAACUAGAAAAGCAUGCUGCAUCAGGUAGAGAUGAAUGCUGUGAUUACUUUCAUAAGAUAAUGGAGCCCUGAGUUUUUCGAGCUGUGUUUGUACAUUAACCUGAAAUGAACUUUCUUGCUCAGUGGUUUCAUUUGUAUCAUCAUUUUCAGUCACUAAACCAUAAAAAAACCACAUACUCCAAUUCCCUGAUCAGUUUUAAGCACUUCCUGAAUUAGCAAAAGAUUUCAUGACUGCUGCUCAACUGAGUAAUAUCUGCCUUCAUUUAAAGUAUUGGCAUGUUUUAUGUAUUAACUAUAAGGACCUGAGUCAAUUGUGAUGCUUUUUGAUAUAUUUUCAGGUUUUUCUUCCAUGACUGUUUUGCUUUUCUCUGUUGUCUGCACGGUCACUCUCAGCCCUGGCAAAUUGCUGUUCCUCUUAAGUCUUGAUCAACACAUAGCUAUACCAACAUGAGAAGAAUGGGAGGUGGUAGGGUUACAAUUUCUUUUCCAGUAGAGCUACAUGGUGCAAUUCCUCACACACACCAUUUAUGGACAGACUAACUGCUACAGCUUAUUCUGCUGUGAGGGGAUAAACUAUUACAAGGUGAGCACCUUUUAAAUCAUGCACCAGGGAUAGCACAAGCUAUUCAUACUCUUCUGACUUCUGCAGAAUAAAAUUGUCUAAUUUUGGUGUGUAAACACAUUCUCCUAAGCCAAAAGCUUAAAACCUGAUCCCUUGGGUCACUGUGUUUCUCUACUGCUUUCCUUCACCCCUAUUUCAGGCCACGUAUACAAAGUAUGUAGAUCACAGCAUGCCGCGUAUCGGGUGUCUCUGACAGCUGGCGACACAUUUGCAGUACAUGCAUAGCACCAAUAUUUCCAAAUGCAAGAGGGAGCACAAAGAUUUCAAAGGUUUCAUAACGUUUGCUCACAAAUUGUGCUUUUUCCCCAGGUGGUUUUCUGUGUGUUUUAAAGUUUGAAAAAAAUAUUCCUUGUUUUCAAACUGAACACAAGAUACUGCACUGACCACAUACCAGUGCUUUCUGAAGUCCUGAAGGGCACUCUGGGAACAACAACAGUUUUUGUUCCCAACAGCUAUACAUAUAUAUAUAUACAUGUGUGUGUAUAUAUAUAUAUAUAGUUUUUAUUUUAAUAUUAUAUAUAAUUUGUUGUGCUAUUAUGCAGAUUUGGGUGGGUUUUGUGGUUUUUUGGUUGGUUGGUGGAUUGGGGUUUUUUUUGUUUUGUUCAGAAGAGGUAGCUAGAGCCAAAGCAAGUAAACCUGACAUGAUAAAAUCUGGAAACCAUAUAGCUAAGGUACUUCCAGUUCCUUUUAUUGAAAACAGUGCCUGUGCUUCCUUAUAUUUCACUAUUGUGUAGUAACAUAUUUCAUAAUAUUGCAAGUUAUUUUUCAAUGUUUUCAACUAUUGUUUAGUGUACCUUUUUAAAGUGACAUCAUUUCAGCUAUUUAUAUGAUGUUUUCUCUGAUGGCAGUAAAUGGAAAUCUCAGCUGAGUUUCUGUCUUCAAUAUGCUAAUUUCUACACAGUCUACUAGUAGACUGCACCUCCAGAAUAAACUUCAGUGGUGGCAGACACAUUGUCUUCAUCACUGGGUAGCAGAUCACUGUAAUAAACUGCUUUAUACAUAAACUCAUUUAUACAUAUAUUGAUCUGAAGAGAAAAGAACAACCAAAUAAACCUGGCUGGA